GAUUAACGCUGGCGGCGUGCAUAACACAUUCAAGUCGAACGGUGAUGGGGGCUUCGGUCCCCUGAUCAGUGGCGGACGGGUGAGUAACGCGUGAGCAAUCUGCCUCUGUGUGCGGGAUAACAACCGGAAACAGUUGCUAAUACCGCAUGAUGUAUUUGAGUCGCAUGUCUUAAAUACCAAAGGCUUGCUGCACAGAGAUGAGCUCGCGUCUGAUUAGGUAGUUGGUGAGGUAACGGCUCACCAAGCCGACGAUCAGUAGCCGGACUGAGAGGUUGAACGGCCACAUUGGGAACUGAGAUACGGUCCAG
rnacentral:rRNA from 1 species